rnacentral:rRNA from 1 species
AUUGAACGCUGGCGGCAUGCCUAACACAUGCAAGUCGAACGAGUGGCGGACGGGUGAGUAAUGUCUGGGAAACUGCCUGCUGGAGGGGGCUAACUACUGGAAACGGUAGCUAAUACCGCAUACCAUCGGAUGUGCCCAUAUGGGAUUAGCUAGUAGGUGGGGUAAAGGCUCACCUAGGCCACGAUCCCUAGCUGGUCUGAGAGGAUGACCAGCCACACUGGAACUGAGACACGGUCCAGACUCCUACGGGAGGCAGCAGUGGGGAAUAUUGCACAAUGGGCGAAAGCCUGAUGCAGCCAUGCCGCGUGUAUGAAGAAGGCCUUCGGGUUGUAAAGUACUUUCAGCGGAGAGGCGUUACCUGCAGAAGAAGCACCGGCUAACUCCGUGCCAGCCGCCGCGGUAAUAC